CCUACGGGAGGCAGCAGUGAGGAAUAUUGGUCAAUGGACGGGAGUCUGAACCAGCCAAGUCGCGUGAGGGAGGACUGCCCUAUGUAUUGUAAACUUCUUUUGUCAAGGAAUAAAACGAGGCACGCGUCCCUGUUUGCAUGUACUUGAUGAAUAAGCAUCGGCUAACUCCGUGCCAGCAGCCGCGGUAAUACGGAGGAUCCGAGCGUUAUCCGGAUUUAUUGGGUUUAAAGGGAGCGUAGAUGGGUUGUUAAGUCAGUUGUGAAAGUUUGGGGCUCAACCGUAAAAUUGCAAUUGAUACUGGCAGUCUUGAGUACAGUUGAGGUAUGCGGAAUUCGUGGUGUAGCGGUGAAAUGCUUAGAUAUCACGAAGAACCCCGAUUGCGAAGGCAGCUUACUAAACUGUGACUGACACUGAGGCUCGAAAGUGUGGGUAUCAAACAGGAUUAGAUACCCGGGUAGUC
rnacentral:rRNA from 1 species